CAUCCGAGGCGCGGUUAUUGCUGAUUGAAAACUUUUCCCAAUACCCCGCGAGACGACUUGAAACAUAGUCGGCUUUGCAAUUUUUGUGGGCCCUGCUUAGGG
rnacentral:snRNA from 1 species